rnacentral:rRNA from 1 species
UACGGGGGGGGGCAAGCGUUGUUCGGAAUUACUGGGCGUAAAGGGUUUGUAGGUGGCCCGCUAAGUCACACGUGAAAUCCCUCAGCUUAACUGGGGAACUGCGUGUGAGACUGGCAGGCUCGAGGGCAGGAGAGGAACGCGGAAUUCCAGGUGUAGCGGUGAAAUGCGCAGAUAUCAGGAAGAACACCCGUGGCGAAAGCGGCUCUCUGGAACGGUACUGACGCUGAGACGCGAAAGCGUGGGGAGCGAACAGG